UAGUCUAUAUUACUGUAACACCCUCUUGAUCGUGACCCGGGCUGGUGGCUGCGUGUGUGUGUGUGUGUGUGUGUGUGGCUUUCGAUUUGCCUUUUGGGUGUUUACUGUGUGCUUGGUGGGUUUUGUUUUUGUCUGUCUUCUCUUCCAUGUCUCCUGGAGCUGGUGGGCGUGGCCUCUGGUUCACUACGGCUCUGGCACACUUGUUCUCUGUCUCAAUCAAGCACCUGUUCUGCAUUCCCUCAUCACCGCUCACUACUUAACCUUGGCCAGCUCUCCAGUCCUUCUCAGAUUGUUGUGUAACCUGAGAAAUUCGCCCUGUUCCCCCUGGAUUACCUGUCCUCCCCGCCAGCCUGCACAGUCGUCAGGAGUAAUCCCCACCUCGCACAAAGAUACACUCAAGGUAUAAAGUAGAUUUGGUAAACAGAAAUAAACUAUAUUCAGUGGA